rnacentral:lncRNA from 1 species
UUUUCAUAACUCUCAAACAUCUCCUCAAGUUCUAAGCUUUUAAAUCAUUCUCUGGAGCAUCCUACCUUGGAAGGAAGCUCUCUUAGUCUUAAUCUUCAUGCUAAGGACUCUUGAGCCCGGUAAAAGCUAUCUGUACUUGCUGAUUGAUAUACGGCUGGGAAUAAAAUUUUAUUUUUAGCUCAGAUACUACGCGAAAUGGGCUGGCUACUCCUAGUAUCAAAUAAAGAGUCUUGCAAGCUUUUGAUGCUUAAAUCUGUUGAACAAUAUUUCUUUUUAUUUUAGAUCCGCCUGUGGAUCCACUUACAAUCCGUUGUGUAAUAUUUUAUGUUACUUUCAAUUCGGUUUGUAUAAUUAAUACUUUAGACUUCCGCCAUUCAAUGAACUGUGAUUAUUU